rnacentral:misc_RNA from 1 species
GAAAUGCGAUAAGUAGUGUGAAUUGCAGAAUUCAGUGAAUCAUCGAAUCUUUGAACGCACAUUGCGCCCCUUGGUAUUCCAUGGUGCAUGCCUGUUCGAGCGUCAUUUGUACCCUCAAGCUCUGCUUGGUGUUGGGUGUUUGUCCCCGUCUCCGCGCGUGGACUCGCCCCAAAGUGAUUGGCAGCCGGCGUACUGGUCCCGGAGCGCAGCACAUGUCGCGCAAACGAGUGCCUUGGUACGGCGGCGUCCAUAAGCCCCUCUCUCACGCUCUUGACCUCGGAUCAGGUAGGGAUACCCGCUGAACUUAAGC